GCGGACGUGGUGGAAUUGGUAGACACGCUGGAUUUAGGUUCCAGUGCCGCAAGGUGUAAGAGUUCGAGUCUCUUCGUCCGCA
rnacentral:tRNA from 1 species